rnacentral:rRNA from 1 species
UUGAAAGGGAAACGAUUGAAGUCAGUCAUGCCGGCGGGAAUCAACUUAGGGGAAACUCUGAGUGCACUUCUUCGCUUGGCAGGUUAGCGUCGAUUUUGGAUGUCAUAAAAUGACUGGGGGAAGGUAGCUCUUUCGGGAGUGUUGAGCCCUUAGUAGAUGUGAUGUCUGGGAUCGAGGAUUGCAACGGGUACCUUUUGGGCUAGCCGCCUAUUCUCUAAUACGAAGUUGGGUUAUAGACAGCAUGCUGACUGUGAUCUGAUUUUCGGUUAAAAGAUUAGAGCGAGUGUAAAUUCGUUAAGGAUGUUGACGUA